UACGGAGGGGGCGAGCGUUAUUCGGAAUUAUUGGGCGUAAAGGGCGCGUAGGCGGCUUGACAAGUCAAAGGUGAAAUCCCUCGGCUCAACUGAGGAACUGCCUUUGUAACUGUCUGGCUUGAGGCCGGGAGGGGGUAGCGGAAUUCCCAGUGUAGCGGUGAAAUGCGUAGAUACUGGGAGGAACACCAGUGGCGAAGGCGGCUACCUGGACCAAUACUGACGCUCAUGUGCGAAAGCGUGGGGAGCAAACAGG
rnacentral:rRNA from 1 species